CUAGUGUUAGGGUUUGGCUAGGGUUACUAUUAAGCUAGUAUUAGGGUUGGGCUAGGUUUACUAUCAUCCAAGUGUUAAGGUUGGGCUAGGGUUAUGAUUAUGCUAGGGUUAGGGUCUGGCUAGGGUUACUCUUGUGCUAGAGUAUGGGUUUGGCUAGGGAUACUAUAAUGCGAGUGUUUGUGUUGGGCUAGAGUUACUUUAAUGCAAGUGUUAGGGAUUGCCUAGUGUUACUAUUAUGCUAGGGUUAGGGACGGGUUAAGAUUCACUAUUAGACUAAAACGUGUCAUGAAAAUUAGACAAAAUUAGACAGUGAUUUGUGAGUUUGUUUCUAUGACAGGGCUUACUAAAAGACACC
ensembl:lncRNA